rnacentral:lncRNA from 1 species
GUUUUGGGAGCAGCGCAAGUUGCUGUGGGAACGGGGAGGGCCGUAUGUAGGAAUGCAUAAUUGACUAAGGGGUGCAUAAUGAAAUUAAACAACAUACAUAAUUCCCUUGACCCCACCAGAUAUAAAACGUCUGCCUUUAGAUUUUACUUUAAAAGAUCAGAAAUCUAUAUUGAUACCAAAGAAGAAAAAGAGAAAGAAUUGCAAUAUAUAUACAAGACCCGACAGUUAUAUGGAUAUACUAAAGGCUUCUUGAGAAGAACCCAUGAAAAAGUCCUGCAGUCUCUAUAAAAACAGAUAAUACUGGGUAAAGAAGAGAGCAAUAAAUACCAGCCGAUCCUGUACGCAAUAAAGAACUCUAAACUAGUUAGGAAUUUAACACUAAGAAAUGACACAAGACCAGUCUUCAAAAGAUUCCUCACAUUGUUCAACCAAUUAAGAAAUGAAAAAGAUAAAAAUAGAGAACAAACAAAAGUCUGAUGUAUACAGGAUACCGCUUAGAAAUAACGUCACAAAAUUGGACGAGGUAUACAUUGCU